CCCCGCCGCUCGCCGCGGCCGCGGGGAGGGCCGUCCGGCGGGGAGGAGCUCGACCUCUUCAUGACGCACUAUGUAUUGCUCCUUUGCUCAUUCAAGGAACAGCUGCAGCAGCAUGUACGUGUUCAUGCAAUGGAAGCAGUGAUGUGUUGCUGGGAGCUUGAACAAUCUUUACAAAGCCUAACAGGUGCAGGAGUGCUACGAGCUCUCGUCGGAGUACAAGAAUGACCAAUAUCAGGCUCGACUUUGUGAGCUCGAGUCUUGAUUCAUAGGGCGGGAGGUGCUUCAACCCCGACACCGUCCACGACCACGCGUCCUACGCCUUCAACAGCUACCCGCCUCAACCAGCUGCGACUUCCGUGGUGGUAAUGUGGCAUCUCUAAGGUCGUACUUGCAUAUCAAGAUGGAGAACCAGAGAGCGCUCAAGGGCAUCAUCCCCGCCAAGAGGAUGUUGUUCCGUGCCAUGGCCGCCACAUCGGUGGCAACUGACGAGAUCGCGGCAGCAGGAAAGGGCCGAUCCAAUCAGGCUAAUAGAUGACGACACGUCAGGGGAAGUCCAAUUCACCAUAAGACUUUUUUCUUAAAACCUCUAUGUGGUGCUCAUAUUUUUUCAAUCUACAGGUUGUCGAAGACUUUUGUUGCAGAUGAUCCAAAUGUUGUUGCUAUCCACAUGAAGAAAGGCGUGAGGCGAUAGCUGUAGAGACAUGACAUUGCCACAACAGCGGUAGUGCCAUAUCGGUGGGCUUGUAGAUGCUUCUUCCAUGCGGUCUGCAGACGACAGUGACCUCCUGGUGGCGGUGGUGCUAGAUCGCUGGGGCUGAAGAGGCGCCCUGUUGUCACAACAAGUCUUAGACGUGGUCUGCAGAUUAGAUGAUAGUGACUUCCCUUCCUUGCGACUCAUGGUUUGUUGGAGCUGUAGGAUUCUCCCGGCACAAUGGAGUCGGCACUCACGACGGCCUUGGACAUAAUCCUGAGCAACAAGAUGCUGAACUUCUAUUUGGACCUGGCUGUACUGGUCUUGCGGAUCUUGGGAAUAGUUGCUAUAUGGCUUCAAUAAUGCAAGUCAUGUUUUUAACCCACCAUUCCAUAUCAAGAUACUUUGAGAAACAGAGUCUGAAAGCUGCAUUUGCUUCUGCACUAGCUGAUCCAACAGUAGACCUAAAUAUGCAAAUGUAUUGCACUUGCACAUUCCGGCCAGCAUGCACCCAAGGUUGACCAAACUGAUUCAACAGUGUUGGGAUGAGAUCAUAAUGUGCGUCCGACUUUUGCAGAGAUCAUUAUAGAACUCCAAGAUAUUCUACACCAUAU